rnacentral:rRNA from 1 species
AGACGAAGGUGGCAAGCGUUGUUCGGAAUCACUGGGCAUAAAGCGCGCGUAGGUGGCUUAGCAAGCGGGGAAUGAAAUCCCAUGGCUCACCCAUGGAACUGUUUCCCGAACUGCUUCGCUUGAGGACGGGAGGGGAGAGUGGAAUUCCUGGUGUAGCGGUGAAAUGCGUAGAUAUCAGGAGGAACGCCGGUGGCGAAAGCGACUCUCUGGCCCGUUCCUGACACUGAGGCGCGAAAGCUAGGGGAGCAAACAGGAUUAGAAACCCGGGUAGUCC